rnacentral:tRNA from 1 species
AAGGGAGACCUAAUUCAGGUAGGAGACGAAAAAAAAGUAGUCGCUACCAAGAAUCAAUCCCAAAAGGUCGGAGCGAGGCGAAAUUGGCUUUCAAACUAGGUUCUGGGUUCGCACAAGACCUGAAUCAGGAACAAGGGCUAUUAGCUCAGGUGGUUAGAGCGCACCCCUGAUAAGGGUGAGGCCCCUGGUUCGAGUCCAGGAUGGCCCACCUGUACAGGUGGCAAAAAGAAAGAAAAGAAGCGAGGAAUCAGCACCUUAUCUUACUGACAUAGUAAGAGAGAAUGCUGGCUCUGAGUAAAGAGUCCAGAGGAACCUUGAAAACUGCAUAGAGCUAGGUGAAAAAGCCAAAAAAGAAGACCGCAA